UGUUCGUUUCAUAGUCGCCACUUCCAGCGGCAGCGACAAAAAAAUUGCCUGUAACGGAGACGAAAUAACAAUUCCGGAGACGCAGAAAACCUAAAUCAGUCGCUGAUACAGUGUAGGAGACGCACAGAAUUAGACGCUGAUUUAUUCCGCGUUCCUUUCAUUCGCUAUUAGUUGCCGCAGCGACUGGAAAGUCAGUUGAUCGUGCUUCACCGAUGCUGUGGGUUGCUGUCAUUACGGUUUAAAUUUCUGACGCUACCGCUGGAGUCAGCGUUGAAGAAACGAACAGGGCAAUUGCUACCUCAAUUUCUUCAAAGAAACCAACUAAUGAUAAAAGCUUUCAUAUCUCAACACAAUAACAACAACAAAGUCGUUCACUGUCAUAUGUAUACUAAUACUCGUAUAUUAUAAAACAUGUUUUUAAAAUAUAAAAUGUUGAUACAACACGGACUCCACUAGCACAACUUAAUUAAUAUAUAUGCUAAAUGUUGUGAUCAAAUAGUGAAUCUAAAAAUAGUUGUAGAUUUAUAGAACCAAAAAGGAUGUGAAUGUUCCUAAAUAAACACAAGGAAAACAGACAAUUGGAUAGAUUAGUGUCACAAUUUCUCGUCAUGUUCUUUCCUUUUGCGUCCUACAGGGAGAAAACCUUGUUGAAAUUGAGCUAAACCUGGAACAUAAUUCAGAAGAACUGACCUAAGUUUACAAGUCAAGUGACCUGCUUGGUGCUUUUCCUUUUGCCUACUCCAAGAUGAGUCUCCGUAGAACUUAGACUAUUUCUUCUCAGAAUGUGUAAGAUGUUGUUAGUGUUCAAACACACAAAUAUUUGUUCUUCUUGUCUGCAAAGAAGUAUUCAUAUGCAUUACAAGAGAUCUUUAGAAAACAUCCUAUAACUCAAGACAACCAUAAAUCUACACGAAUGAUUAUCUUUAACACUAGAUCAUUAUCUGUAAUUAUAUAUAUGUAUAUCCAACAUGCACCCCAAAAUGAACGUUUUUCAGUCAGUCCAAUCUUUAUCGUUAAGUUAUGAACCGGGAUUGCAGAAGAGGCUUAGUGAAAGCGUCAUCAAGUUGAUCAACAGAGCUGAUGUGAGACACUCGUAGUUGUUUUGCUUGAAAAAGUUCUCGAACAAAAUGGUAAUCAAGUGCUCAUACGAGAGUGAAACACUGGGUUAGCACUUAUAAUAUGUUGCUCCUACAUUGUCGUGUUGUUGAGAUCGGUAUAUGAAAUUCAGAGAGUAAGAAGGCAAUCCUUUUGACUUAUAGAGUAGCAUCCUUCAGGCUUAUGUACUAAGAGUACGGUUGAACAAGACUAAGAGUACAACUCCUGGCGUGGCUAUGAUAUGCUCAGUUGAGCAUAUCGGCAUUGAGACGGGCAUUGCAUUUGCCCAUUUUUUCCACUUGAUUUGUGUGAGGAAAAGCCCCAAUGAGUUGGGAGUAGCUUCCAUUCCAAGAAUAUACAAAAGUGCACCAAAAUCCUUGAGAGAAAAUAUGUUGGCAAGAACCUUGAUGAACCGAAUAAUUGUAUUAUUUUAUUGUUCGUGAUGAUGAUAUUAUCUACAGAGAUGAUAUUACUAUAUACAUAAAGAAGAUAACUUGCACAGAAGACAAAUAAAAAUGCAUCCGCAAGAAGGGUUAACGAAACCAGCAUGAAUGAAGAAGUUGCGCAGGUCAUACCUUUUUUCAACAAAAGAAAAAUAACUUUAUUCAGAAAUAUGAUUUACAAAGAAUUGUUUUUAGUGUUCGGUAAAGUUCAAUCGUAUGACUCAUUCUACUUCUUUUCCCCAUCCCACUCUCCACUAUUAUUUGUCCUUAAUUAUUCCAGUUUCUUUAGACCAUCCGCAACGCGGAAUUAUAAGGAAUCCUUAACACAUAUUCCUAAGCAAUUACAAUUAAAAUAAUAAUAUUAUACUUAAAUAAGCUAAGGAGGAAUCCGUAAUUAAGGAUUAAAAUCAGUCGAUCCUUGUUGACGUGGAAUCUCCGUUCAAGCCUGACGUCUUCAAAGGUAAGGUAGCUCUCAUCACCGGAGGCGGAUCUGGAAUCGGUUUCGAGAUCUCUUCUCAGUUCGGCAAACAUGGAGCUUCCGUCGCCAUCAUGGGACGCAGGAAACAAGUCUUCGACGCCGCCGUCUCUGAUCUCCGAUCCCUCGGGAUUCAGGUAAUCUUUCAGAGAGGAUUUUUGUUUUUGAUUUGGGAUUGAAUAGUAUUCGAUUGCUUGUUGAAUUGCUUGUUCUCUUUGGAAUGUAUCUCCAAGGCUAUUGGAUUGGAAGGUGACGUUCAAUUGGGCUUUGCGUGUCUAUUCAGUACAUAGGAUCAGUGGAGUAAACAAAGUUCAACUACUAUUAUAAGCACCUCUUCACCCUCUUCCUAUCUUCACUUUCUCUCCAUCGAAAGAAAACAGAGUUUCACAAUCACAAUGUGCGACUCAGAUUAUCUCUCUCGCUGUUCCUCAUACGAGGCAGACGUUGAUUCAGACUCCGACGUCUCGAGCACCACCUGUUCCAACUGAGCGAGGAGAUGAUGCAAAGCCUUUUGCUCCUAUGGUGGUCACUGGGACUUUAGAUGAUGAUGGUUUGGGCCCUGUUUCUUGGUGGGAAGGUUCUACUUCUAAUGAGAAUCAUGAAGAUGAUGAUGAUACCUGAACCAAACUUCAAUCUCCAAAUGUAAGACUUCAGGUUCUUAAACUAGUAUGUUUUUCUUAACAUAGGAAGUUGGAAUUAGACUCCUUUCCCAUGAUUCUAGGAUUAGAUUCCUUAAUUUUGAUUUUAUCUGUGUAUGAAGAGAAAGACAAAAAAAAUAUUGAAUAUGGAAAAAUAUUUUUCUUAUAUAUAUGUGCAACUCUUGUGUCCUGCUCU